rnacentral:rRNA from 1 species
GAUGAACGCUGGCGGCGUGCCUAAUACAUGCAAGUCGAGCGAACAGACGAGGAGCUUGCUCCUCUGACGUUAGCGGCGGACGGGUGAGUAACACGUGGAUAACCUACCUAUAAGACUGGGAUAACUUCGGGAAACCGGAGCUAAUACCGGAUAAUAUAUUGAACCGCAUUGUUCAAUAGUGAAAGACGGUUUUGCUGUCACUUAUAGAUGGAUCCGCUCCGCAUUAGCUAGUUGGUAGGGUAACGGCUUACCAAGGCAACGAUGCGUAGCCGACCUGUGAGGGGGAACGGCCACACUGGAGCUGAGCCACGGUCCAGACUCCUACGGGAGGCAGCAGUAGGGAAUCGUCCGCAAUGGGCGAAAGCCUGACGGAGCAACGCCGCGUGAGUGAUGAAGGUCUUCGGAUCGUAAAACUCUGUUAUUAGGGAAGAACAAAUGUGUAAGUAACUAUGCACGUCUUGACGGUACCUAAUCAGAAAGCCACGGCUAACUACGUG